UUAUAGUAUUGUAAGGUGUCCAAAAUGGUCAAAAAAUGACAUAGUAUUAUAAGGUGUCCAAAAUAGUCAAGAAAUGUCAUACUAAAAUAAGGCCUCAAAAACACUCAAAAAAUGGAAGGUGUCAAAAAUGCUCAAAAACUGUCAUAGUAUAGUAAGGCCUCAAAAACCUUCAAAAAAUGUAAGGUGUCCAAAAUAGUCAAAAAAUGUCAUACUAAAAUAAGGCCUCAAAAAUGGUCAAAAAAUGUCAUAGUAUAGUAAGGCAUAAAAAACACUCAAAGACUGUCAAAAAAUGUCAUACUAAAGUAAGGCCUCAAAAAUGGUCAAAAAAUGUCAUAGUAUUGUAAGGUGUCCAAAAUGGUCAAAAAAUGUCAUACUAAAGUAAGGCCUCAAAAACGGUCAAAAAAUGUCAUAGUAUUGUAAGGUGUCCAAAAUGCUCAAAAAAUGUCAUAGUAUUGUAAGGCGUUAAAUAUGGUCAAAAAAUGUUAUAGUAUAGGUAGGCAUCAAAAAAAUGUCAUAGUAUUGUAAGGUGUCCAAAAUGGUCAAAAAAUGACAUAGUAUUGUAAGGUGUCCAAAAUAGUCAAAAAAUGUCAUACUAAAGUAAGGCCUCAAAAACGGUCAAAAAAUGUCAUAGUAUUGUAAGGUGUCCAAAAUGCUCAAAAAAUGUCAUCGUAUAGGUAGGCGUCAAAAAAAUGUCAUAGUAUUGUAAGGUGUCCAAAAUGGUCAAAAAAUGACAUAGUAUUGUAAGGUGUCCAAAAUAGUCAAAAAAUGUCAUACUAAAGUAAGGCCUCAAAAACGGUCAAAAAAUGUCAUAGUAUUGUAAGGUGUCCAAAAUGCUCAAAAAAUGUCAUCGUAUAGGUAGGCGUCAAAAAAAUGUCAUAGUAUUGUAAGGUGUCCAAAAUGGUCAAAAAAUGACAUAGUAUUGUAAGGUGUCCAAAAUAGUCAAAAAAUGUCAUACUAAAGUAAGGCCUCAAAAACGGUCAAAAAAUGUCAUAGUAUUGUAAGGUGUCCAAAAUGCUCAAAAAAUGUCAUAGUAUUGUAAGGCGUUAAAUAUGGUCAAAAAAUGUUAUAGUAUAGGUAGGCAUCAAAAAAAUGUCAUAGUAUUGUAAGGUGUCCAAAAUGCUCAAAAAAUGUCAUACUAAAGUAAGGCCUCAAAAACGGUCAAAAAAUGUCAUAGUAUUGUAAGGUGUCCAAAAUGCUCAAAAAAUGUCAUAGUAUUGUAAGGCGUUAAAUAUGGUCAAAAAAUGUUAUAGUAUAGGUAGGCAUCAAAAAAAUGUCAUAGUAUUGUAAGGUGUCCAAAAUGGUCAAAAAAUGACAUAGUAUUGUAAGGUGUCCAAAAUAGUCAAGAAAUGUCAUACUAAAGUAAGGCCUCAAAAACACUCAAAAAAUGUAAGGUGUCAAAAAUGCUCAAAAACUGUCAUAGUAUAGUAAGGCCUCAAAAACCUUCAAAAAAUGUAAGGCGUCAAAAAUGGUCAAAAAAAUUUAUAGUAUAGGUAGGCAUCAAAAAAAAUGUCAUAGUAUUGUAAGGUGUCCAAAAUGGUCAAAAAAUGACAUAGUAUUGUAAGGUGUCCAAAAUAGUCAAAAAAUGUCAUACUAAAGUAAGGCCUCAAAAACGGUCAAAAAAUGUCAUAGUAUUGUAAAGUGUCCAAAAUGCUCAAAAAAUGUCAUAGUAUUGUAAGGCGUUAAAUAUGGUCAAAAAAUGUUAUAGUAUAGGUAGGCAUCAAAAAAAUGUCAUAGUAUUGUAAGGUGUCCAAAAUGGUCAAAAAAUGACAUAGUAUUGUAAGGUGUCCAAAAUAGUCAAAAAAUGUCAUACUAAAGUAAGGCCUCAAAAACGGUCAAAAAAUGUCAUAGUAUUGUAAGGUGUCCAAAAUGCUCAAAAAAUGUCAUCGUAUAGGUAGGCGUCAAAAAAAUGUCAUAGUAUUGUAAGGCAUUAAAAAUGGUCCAAAAAAUUUAUAGUAUAAAAAGGCAUAAGAAAGGGUCAAAAAAUGUCACAGUAUUGGUAGGCGUCAAAAAAUGUUCAAAAACUGUCAAGAAAUGUCAUAGUAUAGUAAGGCGUUAAAAAUCGUCACAAAAAAUGUCAUACUAAAGUAAGGCCUCAAAAAUG